rnacentral:rRNA from 1 species
ACAGCAGCCGCCGCGGGAAUACGUAGGUGGCAAGCAUUGUCCGGAAUUAUUGGGCGUAAAGGGCUCGCAGGCGGUUUCUUAAGUCUGAUGUGAAAGCCCCCGGCUCAACCGGGGAGGGUCAUUGGAAACUGGGAAACUUGAGUGCAGAAGAGGAGAGUGGAAUUCCACGUGUAGCGGUGAAAUGCGUAGAGAUGUGGAGGAACACCAGUGGCGAAGGCGACUCUCUGGUCUGUAACUGACGCUGAGGAGCGAAAGCGUGGGGAGCGAACAGGAUUAGAUACCCCUGUAGUCCCUGUCUCUUAUAC